CCUUCUCCCAGCAAUUCACUGCCGUAAAUUGGCUUUUUUGCAUGUUUGCAUUUUCAUCAUAAUUUUGCUGCUGCACAGCCCCAAACACAGUGUUGCAUAGCUGUAAUGUGUCCUCGGCCCCAUAAGGCAGUAGUGGCUAAUGGGAACAUGUUAGGGAAGGUUUGUUCAGCCUGAGGCAUGAAGCUGACAGAUGUGGGUCAAUGGUGAAGAAUCUACAGGGUAUGUUAGAUAUGCUGUUUAGGGACAGAGAGGUAGCCCAGUUGGUACAGUGUUUACCUAAUACCCAGGAAGUUCUGGCUUCAAUCCCCAGUACACUUAAAAUCAGGCGUGGUAAUACAUGACUUUGAUUCUAGCACUCUGGAGGUAGAAGGAUAAGGUCAAAGUCCUCUGUGUAUGUAUGUAUAUAUCUCCUUUGUUGUCCUUUCUUUCCUUUCCUUUCUUUUCUAUCUAUGUAGAGUCUGAGGCUAUCCUGGUGGUCUUAUAUAUAAGGUCCUGCUGGAAGGUAGGAUAAGAAGGAAGAGUGGUGUUACAGCAGAAGCACAUGUGUGCUAACAAGUCCAAGCAGAGUGACUUUUAGCUCUAAUGUAGACGAUCGCAUCCAUCCUUUUGCCCAUAGUCCUAACUCCAGGGAAGAGAGGUGUACACUGUAUCUCUGUCACCAUGAAUCAUCUGGGACUUUGGGAAGAAACCACAGGAUACAAAUUCUGGACUUAGUCUAGGUCAGGUUGCCUGAUGAGGUGGGAGCCUGGAGCUGUGUCUCCAGAGCUAAGGGACUCCACAUGUCAGCUGACAUAAAUAGGCUUUACCAAGUGUCUGCUCUGCUCUUUUUCAGGGUCAAGGGGCUGUGAGGCAGACAUAGGAGGAGCUGGGAUGGAGUGGUGAUAAUUGUGGUUCUUGGAGUCUGACUUAGGGAGGCUAUGCUGGGGAGCUGAUGAGGCUCUUGCAGGAAUUGCUGGAAGACUAUGUCCAAGCACAGAGGUCAAACAGGGCCUGCCAGUGCUGGGGUAGUGCUCUAACAGUAUCUCACUCCAACCUAGCAGCCGCACUGACAUCCUUCCCGAACUAGGAACUGGAGUUUGGUCCUGCGCCUGGGGCACAACUACACAGCCAAUGAACAAUGGACAGAAUUACAUACUUUAUUCAUACAUUUCACAGUGGAAUCUCACAGCUCAGAACAGACACAAAACAGGAAAUAACCAACCAACAGCAAAGACAGGGAGAGCUAAGGAGGGAACAUGUUCUCACACUUCAAGGUGCUUGUACAUUUAGUCUUGUAAGUAGGUACCUUAUGGCAUCUAAGAAGGUCCCUAGAGUGUUGUUCCCAGAGGAAGCAUGAGGGAACUCUUUACAUGGAGUGGCAACUAUUUCCUUGGUGGGAGACCCUCCCCAGCAAAGACGGAGUCCCAGCUGUGACCCAUUCACUGCCUUCUGAAGAGCCAGGCACAGAGGAGGAGGCAGAGCCUCACCAUAGAAGGUUGUUGAAGACAAAGGAAGUCGGGGACAAAGCCACGUGGAUUAGCUGUUCGCCUGUGCCAACAGGAAGAAGAGACGAGGUUACUCUCCUAAGACAGACAAAGCUGUCUUUUUCCCCUGAUGAUCUGAGAAUCCGAGUCUGACUCAGGCCUCAGAGACUUCUGCAGGUCAAGCUCAGGCUACAGGUGCAGGAAGCACAUGUGCCUCUGCCCAGAAGCCUCACUUGGUUCCAGCUACUCUCUACCUGGAGAGGUCCUCCAUUCUUACCUGUGGUACCCCUCUCACUCAGCACUCUCUUUCCUCAAGGCCAUGCUGAGUGGCCUUCAGGCUUAAAUAUAUCUGCUGGUCAGUGCCCUCCAUACUGCCCCUCCCUCUAGUCUCCUCUUUGUGCCCCCCAGCAUAGUCUGGUUUGUCUGUUCCCACAUCUUCUUUUGCCAGGAGGACUUCCCCUCAAGAGAUGUGACACUGUGAACUCAGGAGCACUUGGAUUGACAUGAUCAGGCUUCACGAAAAUGC